rnacentral:lncRNA from 1 species
CGACCAGGCUCCAGUCCUGUACCUCAACAGUUCCAGUGCACGAGAAGGGGAAACACUUUUGGUUCAUUGUGUCAUUGAUUGGCAGUUUCCUGCUACACGAGUUGUCUUCUGCAAGAAUGGGCUGGAGGAGUUCAGCCUGAAAGCCCAGCAGGGCAGGCUCAUCUACGCUCUGGUCCUGAACAUCACCUCCAGAAGUGCUGGGAUGUACACGUGUGGGUACCAGCAAAAGAACAAGGAAAACAACGUGAAGAACUCUGCUCUCAGUGCUCCCCGGACCUUGUCUGUAGCAGCCCCAUAUCCCCGGAUUCUGCACACCCUCCCCACAGGCACGGUGCUGGCAGUGGCGGCCGUCGGCCUCGUCCUCCUGGCUGCAGGCAGCUGGUUUGCCAUCAGGAAACGUGCCUGCAGAGGGAGAUGCCCAAGGCAGCAGCACGUUGACAGCCCACAGACGGAAGACACCAACUAUGGUGACAUCCAGUGUGAGUACUACCUCCUCCCUUGGGGGAAGCCACAUGCUCCUCUUCCCAUGAGAAUCCUCUGCGAGUCCCCAUGGAAUCCUACCACUUCAUUUCCCACUGGGAAUAACAAAAUCCCUGCCCGUUCAUCAAGGCCAGGUUUCUCUCCAGCACAUCAUGUCCUGCUUCUUCCUUGCAUGCACAGCGCAGCUGCUGGCUGCACAAGGGACAUGGCAGCAUCCCAGUUCUCCCAGGGACAAAGCCCCUUUGCUGGGCGGUCCUUCCACACAUGCUCCAGACCCAGGCUGCAGUUGCCCCACUUCAACGUCUGCUUUUGUCCUUUCUUCAGUUUACUUCAAAGUGAUUUCGGUUUUCAUGUAGUUGAAAGGACAGAGGAGCAAUGAAAGAUGCGGCUCUCUUUCCUUGUGUUUGUGGGGAAAACAUUUUAUAGUUUGCUCUGAAACCACAGGCAGCAGCCAAGGGAGGAUGUUGUGGUUGGGUGACAGGCUAUAGAUAUAUCCGCACCCUACUUGCACCUCGCUCAUGGUGCAGCACAACCUUGUUUACCCACGCUUGCACAGAGCAGCUCGCAAGGUGUGCUGGCUGUGCAAAGAGAGGAGAUUCCACAGAAAGCUGGAAAUACACCAAAACCUCAGCAUCUCUGCUCCAUCGCUGCUGCUUAAUCUUCAUCC